CAUACAAAUUGAACGCUCCAUUUGGAUUCUGGCUGGAGGCAGCAGCUCAGUUUCCUUUUCAUUUCCCCUGGACUUCCCCGACUCGAGGACCCGCCUGGCCCGCUGUUCCCAGUCCUUCCCGCUCGAUGCUGCGCUUUCAUCUCCCCGCCUCUGCCUCUCCUCCCUCCUGCGCCUUCUGGACAGCGAGGCCUCAUUUAUCCAGUGUCAGUGGGUGCCUUCUCACUCUGAGGGAAGACAGCUGGCAGGCUGUAAACAGUCCCAUGGAGAGAGGAGGAAUGGAGGCUCUCAGAAUUGAAAAUCCUGCCAACAACAAAGUGAGAAAGUUUGGAAGCAGAUCCUCCCCCAGCCGAACUUUGAGAUGACAGCACCUGUGGCCAGCAGUUUGUCUGCAACCUCAUGAGAUGCUUGACUGAGGCACACAGCUAUGCUGGGCCCAGAUUCCUGACCUACAGAAACUAUGAGAUAAUAAAUCUGCACUGUUUUAAAUCA